GAUCAUGGACAGCCUAGAGGACUUGGAACUUGGAGCUAAAGAGGUUGGACUAGAAGAACAAGAAGAACCGGAUAUAGAAGAAGCUUUGGAGAUGCCAGCCGGUCCAAUAACUCGAUCAAGGAGCAAGAAACUUAAGGAAGCUAUCAGAGCUAUGCUUAGAACCGGUUGAAGACGAGCUAAUGUCUUGAGCCAGGAGGGAGAAGUUGCUAUACAAGCCGCAUUGGUUUCUAUACAGGCUCAAGAUGAUCAGU
rnacentral:lncRNA from 1 species